GAAACAUAGUUGACAGUGUCAGGGGGAGUAGGUGGGGGGCAAGGGGUGUGGUGAAUUAUUGGGCGUAGAGAGGUCGUGGGGGGUCGGUCGGGUCGGCUGUGAAAACGCGGGGCUCAACCGCGAGCCGGCAGUCGAUACGGGCAGACGAGAGUGCGGUAGGGGAGACUGGAAUGCCUGGUGUAGCGGUGAAAUGCGCAGAUAUCAGGAGGAACACCGGUGGCGAAGGCGGGUCUCUGGGCCGUAACUGACGCUGAGGAGCGAAAGCGUGGGGAGCAAACAGGAUUAGAUACCCCUGUAGUC
rnacentral:rRNA from 1 species